rnacentral:rRNA from 1 species
UACGGGGGGGGCAAGCGUUGUUCGGAAUUACUGGGCGUAAAGGGCUCGUAGGUGGCCAACUAAGUCGGACGUGAAAUCCCUCAGCUUAACUGGGGAACUGCGACCGAUACUGGAUGGCUUGAGUUUGGGAGAGGGAUGCGGAAUUCCAGGUGUAGCGGUGAAAUGCGUAGAUAUCUGGAGGAACACCGGUGGCGAAGGCGGCAUCCUGGACCAACACUGACACUGAGGAGCGAAAGCUAGGGGAGCAAACGGG